CCUACGGGUGGCAGCAGUGGGGGAUAUUGCACAAUGGGGGGAACCCUGAUGCAGCGACGCCGCGUGGGUGAAGAAGCGCCUCGGCGCGUAAAGCCCUGUCAGCAGGGAAGAAAAUGACGGUACCUGAAGAAGAAGCCCCGGCUAACUACGUGCCAGCAGCCGCGGUAAUACGUAGGGGGCAAGCGUUAUCCGGAUUUACUGGGUGUAAAGGGGGCGCAGACGGCGAUGCAAGCCAGGAGUGAAAUCCCGCGGCUCAACCGCGGAACUGCAUUUGAAACUGUUUUUCUUGAGUACCGGAGAGGUCAUCGGAAUUCCUUGUGUAGCGGUGAAAUGCGUAGAUAUAAGGAAGAACACCAGUGGCGAAGGCGGAUGACUGGACGGCAACUGACGGUGAGGCGCGAAAGCGUGGGGAGCAAACAGGAUUAGAUACCCGGGUAGUC
rnacentral:rRNA from 1 species